AAAAAUGGCAACGGAGAUUCCAAUAGAGAGAUCUUCUACAAUAAUAAGGGCAAGAGGCCGAGAGAAAGAAAGAGCCGGCGAAAAGAAGAAUCAAGUUUUUUAUUGUGUUCGUAGAGCUAAAUUUGAUAGAUCUUAACAAGAGGCAUAUUGGUGUUUCAUGGUGAAAAAAAUGGUGGAAGCAACAAGCCAACUAUGAAGAUAAAGGAAGAAAGAGAAAUCACAAAAGAAUAAGACAAAACCUGGUAAUUGUUUACUCCUCUGUUGAUGGAAGUUAGUUUCCUAAUUCUUUUCAAAUCUAGCGUCAUUUGUUAUAUAUUCUCUUAAAACAUUGGGUUUUUGGGAAAUCAAUUGCCUAAAAUGAUUUUAGCACAAUAUAUAGAUAUAUGAAUUCGCAUACGAAGAAGCUAUUGUAUUGGAAAGACAACUAGAGCUUAUUCAUGAAAAAGAGAGAAAGGAACUUUAAGGCAAAAAGAUCUUGGCAUUUCGUCGAACAGAUCCAACGGAUCAGCCAAUCUAUUGUUCCUCUUUGUAUCCCGUAAGCCGUAAUCAUCUUGGUGUAAAGACUCACAUGAGGUGAAGGAACCUGAUUGAAAAUCUCUCGUGCCUCAUCCAGUCUUGGGUUCAACAAGUGGUGACUACAUAUCAAAACUUCAUGAUUCCAAAAUGAAAUAAGCUCGAAACUUGAAUCGUUGAAAAAUUGGGCGACUCCUCAUACUUUUAACGGUCUCAUCAAGGAAUAAAAACAAUAUAUG
rnacentral:lncRNA from 1 species